UGUCCAGGGAUGGGAAUCGAACCCACAGUGUUCCGCUUACCAGGCAGAUGCCAUGUCCACUAUGGGAAUUCCCAUCCAUGGAC